rnacentral:rRNA from 1 species
GACGAACGCUGGCGGCGUGCCUAAUACAUGCAAGUCGAGCGAAUCAAUGGGAGCUUGCUCCCUGAGAUUAGCGGCGGACGGGUGAGUAACACGUGGGUAACCUGCCUGUAAGACUGGGAUAACUUCGGGAAACCGGAGCUAAUACCGGAUAGUUUCUUUUCUCGCAUGAGAGAAGAUGGAAAGAUGGUUUCGGCUAUCACUUACAGAUGGACCCGCGGCGCAUUAGCUAGUUGGUGAGGUAACGGCUCACCAAGGCGACGAUGCGUAGCCGACCUGAGAGGGUGAUCGGCCACACUGGGACUGAGACACGGCCCAGACUCCUACGGGAGGCAGCAGUAGGGAAUCUUCCGCAAUGGACGAAAGUCUGACGGAGCAACGCCGCGUGAGCGAAGAAGGCCUUCGGGUCGUAAAGCUCUGUUGUUAGGGAAGAACAAGUACGAGAGUAACUGCUCGUACCUUGACGGUACCUAACCAGAAAGCCACGGCUAACUACGUGCCAGCCGCCGCGGUAACAC